UGAAGACAGCGACAAUAUACCUACAUACAU
rnacentral:piRNA from 1 species